GCUUCCUCCUCUACAGUAAAGACAAGGAGAAUGGCUGCUUCCUAAGGUGAUGGCGAGGUAGGAUGAGGAGUGUAAACGGCCCACCCUGCUCCCAGUGUGUGACCCUAAGGAUGCCGGUAGCCAUCUUGCCACUCUCGGGAGAGGAAGAGCCACAGAGACAAGGCAACUCUGAGAGCUGAGUCCUGAUGACCGGUCGAAGCACCCGAAUUCAGCAGUAUGUGAAGCCCCUGAACUUCCAGUUAUAUGUGCUGAUGAAUUAUCUUUUUUGCUGAAGUCCAUUUGAAUUGGAGUUUAUAUCAUUUGCAAUUUAAAGAGAACUGAUCACCAGCUGGCUCAAGUCUGAAGUAUAAACUGGUUUCUAGCAAUCAAAAGCAAUGUGUGACCAGCACAGUGGCUCCAGCCUGUAAUCCCAGCACUUUGAGAGGCUGAGGAGGGAGGAUCACUUGAGGCCAGGAGUUUGAGACCAGCCUGGGCAACAUAGCUGGACCCCAUCUCUAAAAAUACGUAAAUUAAAAAUAAUUUUUUUUUUUUUGAGACGGAGUUUCACCUUUGUCACCCAAGCUGGAGUGCAAUAGCACGCUCUCGGCUCACUGCAAAUCUCCGCCUCUCGAGUUCAAGCAAUUCUCCUGCCUCAGCCUCCGGAGUAGCUGGGAUUACAGGCAUGCACCACCACGCCCGGCUAAUUUUUUUGU
rnacentral:lncRNA from 10 species